UUUUAGCCCCGACAGCAGCGGCAUCCUUUGCUUUUUUUCUUUAGAAAAGCAAAGAUACAGCGGAUGGCGGGACCUAUG
rfam:Flavobacterium succinicans strain DD5b FLB_contig000035, whole genome shotgun sequence.